rnacentral:lncRNA from 1 species
CAGGAUAAUUCACUCUGAGCUUUAGGAGCUAUGCUCUUUGGGCUGUUCCAUGUAAUUACUUUGACAGCAGCUGGCUGGUGUCCACCAGGUUUCAUGGGUCACACAGCCCUUGGCAUAUGCUUGGCACUGUAUGAAUAACCAGGUGUGUUUGGGGUCCUCUGCUGGGGCAGCAAGCGUGGCUGCUGGCCCGUGUGUGAUGAGGACAGAAUAGCCACCAGCAAAGGUGCACUGAGAUGAGACCAGAUGCUAGUCUAAACUCACUCAUUCCCCAGCAAAUCAAAUGGGCAUGUUUCAAUAAUAAAUGACAAUAGAAAAGUGAAAGUUUGCAAACCACAUUAGUAACCCUAGAGUGAGGUUCCUAUUUUAAAAUUACUUUCUUUACCGAUACAAGGAUAAUUUUCUCCCUGUACCACCCUUAAACUUCAGUGUUUUCGUACCAAAUCACACAGUUUUAGUCUGUUGGCUCAAAUCUCGAAUGAAAGCAGCUUAUUUUCUCACUAAUGCCUUUUAAUUUCUCCUUUCAUCUGUUACUACUUCACUAUGCAAGUGCCUGUAGCACAGUAGCAUUGGGAUAGAGGUAACACACCUCGCAUUCUGGACUCUGCUGAGCUCUACUCAGGAGCAAGGGGAUCAGGAAGAUGAUGCUGGAGAAAAUCAGUGCCCUCCAGUCUCAACUCUGCCUUCUCCAAGCAAUUUUAAGUGGAUACCUAUGGCAACCCUGGAUAUCAGAGGGACAUCACCUCACUCCCUAUUCCAGUGACUCAGUUACUUCAGGGAGCAGACGUGUCCAGCUGCAUUUAUACGCCUCGGCUUUGGAUGACUAAAGGUAGGGAAGACAAACCCUUAGGCUCUGUCCACUGUAUUUUAAUAUGAUUUUAAAAUCAGGUUUCCCCAAGCUUGAGGAGCUGGCAGUAGUUGUGCUCAUCAGUGAUGGAGUCACAGGAGCAACAAAAAAGUUCUGAAAGGAAAAUUCAGCUUCAGGUUUUUUGCAGCAAAUUAAACUGUGGAAUACAUCAGAUUACUGAUCCACUUUGUAACUGUUUUU